rnacentral:tRNA from 1 species
GGGAUUAUAGUUAAAUUAAUAUUUAAGUUGCAAUUAAAAGAUGCCUUUAUAAUUAUUAGGCUAAUCUCA